UCAAGCAACGAAGGGCAACAGGAGGAUGCCUUGACGACACAUGGCGAAGAAGGACGUGGCAAGCUGCGAAAAGCCUCGGAGAGCCGCAAGCAGGCUUUAACCCGGGGAUAUCCGAAUGGGGAAACCCAUUGAUGGUAAAACAUCAAUACUUUGACAUGAAUAAAUAGUGUUAAAGAGCAACACCUGCUGAAGUGAAACAUCUCAGUAAGCAGAGGAAAAGAAAGCGAAUGCGAUUCCCUCAGUAGUGGCGAGCGAAAGGGGAACAGCCUAAACCGUGGGGAUUUAUCCUUGCGGGGUUCGGACUCAGACGUGGACUUAUGAUAGAUAGACGAACGGUAUGGAAAGGCCGACCAUAGAGGGUGAGAGUCCUUUAGUUGAAAUCCAUCAUAUACCUAUGAGAAUCCAGAGUAGCACCGAACACGUGAAACUUGGUGUGAAAGCGUGCAGACCACUGCAUAAGGCUAAAUACAAGGUGUCGAUCGAUAGUGAACAAGUACCGUGAGGGAAAGGUGAAAAGGACCCCUGUUAGGGGAGUUAAAAGUACCUGAAACCUGUUGCCUACAAGCGGUCAGAGCUCCUUUAUGGAGUGAUGGCGUACCUUUUGCAUAAUGGGCCUAGGAGUCUAUAUCAGUUGCAAGCUUAAGCGUUUACGACGUGGAGGCGAAGCGAAAGCGAGUCUUAAUAGGGCGGGAGUAACUGGUAUAGCACCCGAAGCGGAGGCGAUCUAGCCAUGGCCAGGCUGAAGCAUCGGUAACACGAUGUGGAGGGCCGAACCCAUUAACCUUGAGAAGUUAAGGGAUGAGCUGUGGUUAGGAGUGAAAGGCUAAUCAAGCCCCGUAAUAGCUGGUUCUCUCCGAAAUAUAUUUAGGUAUAGCGUCAAAUGCUGAUUACCGGGGGUAAAGCACUGAAAAGGCUAGGGUUCACACCCGAAUACCGAACCUUAUCAAACUCUGAAUACCGGUGAGAGAAAUUUGGCAGUCAGUCAGUGGGGGAUAAGCUUCAUUGGCGAGAGGGAAACACCCCAGACCAUCGGAUAAGGUCCCAAAGAUAGUACUAAGUGGUAAGAAGGAGGUAAGUUUUCAUAGACAAUGGGGAUGUUGGCUUAGAGGCAGCCAUCAUUUAAAAAGUGCGUAAUAGCUUACCCAUCGAGAGAAUUUGCGCCGAAAAUGAUCGGGACUGAAGUACUACACCGAAUCUGUGGAAUUAGUAAUAAUUGGUAGGAGAGCGUUCCAACAGCUUUGAAGGUUGAGCGGUGAGCGAGGCUGGAGCGGUUGGAAGUGAGAAUCUAGGCAUGAGUAACGAAAAGUAUGGUUAAAAUCCAUACCGCCGUAAGGAUAAGGUUUCCUGGGGAAGGUUCGUCCGCCCAGGGUUAGUCGGGAGCUAAGGUGAGGCCGUAAGGAGUAAUCGAUGCACAACGGGUUAAUAUUCCCGUACCGGCUUGGCAAUGUUCGAGCUUUAUAUUGACGGAUGAGUGGAUGCUGGCGAGGUGAUGAAUGUCCUUGUCCAAGGUAUCGUAAGGUACCGAUGGGACGUUGAGGCUACGGCCGAGGCGGAUCAGCAAUAGCUAAUUCCAGGAAAAUUUAUAAAGUUAGUUGUCAGGUUGCCCGUACCGCAAACCGACACAGGUAUCCGGGAUGAGUAUUCUAAGGCGCGUGAGUUAAAUCUCUCCAAGGAACUCGGCAAAAUGGCCCCGUAUCUUCGGUAGAAGGGGUGCCAACGCGAGUUGGUCUCAGUAAAGAGGCCCAACCGACUGUUUAUCAAAAACACAGCUCUCUGCCAAGUCGCAAGACAACGUAUAGGGAGUGACAUGUGACCAAUGCGGAAAGGUGAAAACUGCUUGUGAAAGCUUGUGGUCUAAGCCCCCGUGAAUGUCGGCCGUAACUAUAACGGUCCUAAGGUAGCGAAAUUCCUUGUCGGGUAAGUUCCGACCUGCACGAAU
rnacentral:rRNA from 1 species